AACGAACGCUGGCGGCAUGCCUAACACAUGCAAGUCGAACGAGACCUUCGGGUCUAGUGGCGCACGGGUGCGUAACGCGUGGGAACCUGCCCUUAGGUUCGGAAUAACUCCCCGAAAGGUGUGCUAAUACCGGAUAAUGUCUUCGGACCAAAGAUUUAUCGCUUUUGGAUGGGCCCGCGUUGGAUUAGCUAGUUGGUAGGGUAAAAGCCUACCAAGGCGACGAUCCAUAGCUGGUCUGAGAGGAUGAUCAGCCACACUGGGACUGAGACACGGCCCAGACUCCGACGGGAGGCAGGAGAGGGGAAUAUUGGACAAUGGGCGAAAGCCUGAUCAAGCAAUGCGGCGUGAGUGAUGAAGGCCGUAGGGUUGUAAAGCUCUUUUACCCGGGAUGAUAAUGACAGUACCGGGAGAAUAAGCUCCGGCUAACUCCGUG
rnacentral:rRNA from 1 species